rnacentral:rRNA from 1 species
UAUGUGAUCGUCUCUCGCAUAUCAAUAAGCGGAGGAAAAGAAACUAACAAGGAUUCCCCUAGUAACGGCGAGUGAAGCGGGAAGAGCUCAAAUUCGAAAUCUUAAAGGGUUUCCCUUUACGAAUUGUAGCUUAAAGAAGUGUUUUCUGUUGAGGUUUUGGUAAAAGUUCCUUGGAAUAGGACAUCAUAGAGGGUGAGAAUCCCGUAUUUGACCUUUACUUUCAACUUUGUGAUACACUUUCAAAGAGUCGGAUUGUUUGGGAAUGCAGUCCAAAAUGGGUGGUAAAUUUCAUCUAAAGCUAAAUAUUGGCGAGAGACCGAUAGCGAACAAGUACCGUGAGGGAAAGAUGAAAAGAACUUUGAAAAGAGAGUUAAACAGUACGUGAAAUUGUCAAAAGGGAAGCGUUUGACACCAGUGUUGUUUUUCUGAAAAUCAAUUAAAGAACUGUUUAUGCUAAGCUGUUUAGACUUUAUCAGCUAUCUGUUUAGUUUUGAGCUUUUCUUUAAUGCACUUUUCAGUUAACAAGUCAACAUCAAUUUCUUUUGCUGUAAAAAGGCUUGAGGAAGGUGGCUUGAGAUUCGUCUUAAGUGUUUAUAGCCUCUUGCCUAUGCAGUCGGAGAGAUUGAGGUCUGCAGCGUAGAUCCUUCGGGGCUAAAUGCAUUUGUGCUAAGUUAUAGCAUUUUAUAGACAACUUGUUGACUAUGAUUUGUCUUGUAGCUUACUCGCUUAUGUUAUUUUACCUACGCUUAGGAUGUUGAGCGCAUGUCUCUCUCU